GACAGAGGGGGCAAGCGUUGCUCGGAAUCACUGGGCGUAAAGGGCGCGUAGGCGGGAUGGCAAGUCAGGCGUGAAAGCCCUGGGCUCAACCCAGGAACUGCACCUGAAACUGGCGGUCUUGAGUGGUGGAGAGGGAAGUGGAAUUCCUGGUGUAGAGGUGAAAUUCGUAGAUAUCAGGAGGAACACCAGCGGCGAAGGCGGCUUCCUGGACACCAACUGACGCUGAGACGCGAAAGCGUGGGGAGCAAACGGG
rnacentral:rRNA from 1 species